ensembl:lncRNA
CCUUUAUUUCAGGAAUAGUGCAACCCCCUCUGAAAGCAGCUGCCAGUGUCCUCCAAGUAGCGGACCUGAAAGUCACAGUUCCCGUUACCAUUGAAACAUUAAAAAAAAUUAAAGAGGCAGGUGAGCAUCAACCAGAGGGCUCCUUUCUAGCUCAGGUCGAAGAGAAGGUGACCCAUCUGAAUAUCAACACCGAAGAAGAGAGGGGGAGACGUGGGGCAGCUCUUUCCACCCUCACCUUAUGGGGACGUUUUCAGAUGCAAGUCAUGGAGCCCUAGAUUGAUGGCCUCAUUCAGCACCUGGAGCUGAGGUUCCAGCAGCUUGGAAUUCUUGGUGAAUUUAGUGCUCUGGGACCACAAGGACCAAAAGGUGAUGAGAGUCGUGCCAUCUCAGACCUACAAAUGCUGGCCAAGCAGUUCCCACCCAUCAACGAGAAGGCACUUCUCCAAGAAUGGCAGAGCUUUAAAGUGCUCACAACAACUGGGAUUUUAAAAUCCCAGCUCGAUAUGAUGAGUGAUAUGGCAUCUGGGUAUGAUUUGCUACAUCUGCUCUACCCAAACCUGUCCCUCCUAUCAGCAAUCGCCCUCACAAUACCGGUCUCAAGUGUGAAUUGUGAGAGGGAUUUCUCUGCGAUGAAUAGGAUCAAGACAGACCUGCGGAACAGGCUGCAGGGCAACAGUCUGACAGCCUGCAUGAGAAUCAGUAUUAAUGGUCCACCUAUGAAAGAGUUUAAUUACAACAGGGCCCUUGAGUUGUUCUUUGUUGAACCAAGGAGGAUAGCCUGUAGCGAUACUACAUGUCAGCUCUGCCAUAAGUAGUGACUGACAACCUUUGCACAUGUUUUGCAC